rnacentral:rRNA from 1 species
UACGUAGGGGGCGAGCGUUAAUCGGAAUUACUGGGCGUAAAGCGUGCGCAGGCGGUUUUGUAAGCCAGAUGUGAAAUCCCCGGGCUUAACCUGGGAAUGGCAUUUGGGACUGCAAGGCUGGAGUGUGGCAGAGGAGACUGGAAUUCCUGGUGUAGCAGUGAAAUGCGUAGAUAUCAGGAGGAAUACCGAUGGCGAAGGCAGGUCUCUGGGCUGACACUGACGCUCAUGCACGAAAGCGUGGGGAGCAAACAGG